rnacentral:rRNA from 1 species
UACGAAGGGGGCUAGCGUUGCUCGGAAUUACUGGGCGUAAAGCGCACGUAGGUGGUUUUCUAAGUCAGCGUGUGAAAUCCCCGGGCUCAACCUGGGACUUGCAUUUGUGACUGCACGGCUAGAGUGUGUCAGAGGGGGGUAGAAUUCCAACGUGUAGCAGUGAAAUGCGUAGAGAUGUGGAGGAAUACCGAUGGCGAAGGCAGCCCCCUGGGAUAACACUGACGCU